rnacentral:rRNA from 1 species
UACGGAGGGUGCAAGCGUUAUCCGGAUUCACUGGGUUUAAAGGGUGCGUAGGUGGGAUGGUAAGUCAGUGGUGAAAUCUUCGGGCUUAACCCGGAAACUGCCGUUGAUACUAUCAUUCUUGAAUAUUGUGGAGGUAAGCGGAAUAUGUCAUGUAGCGGUGAAAUGCUUAGAUAUGACAUAGAACACCGAUAGCGAAGGCAGCUUGCUACACAAUUAUUGACACUGAGGCACGAAAGCGUGGGGAUCAAACAGG